rnacentral:rRNA from 1 species
AGCAGCCGCGGUAAUUCCAGCUCCAAUAGCGUAUAUUAAAGUUGUUGCAGUUAAAAAGCUCGUAGUUGAAUUUCGGGGUUAGUAGGUUGGUCAUGCCUCUGGUAUGUACUGGUCUCACUGAUUCCUCCCUCCUGAUGAACCUUAAUGCCAUUAAUUUGGUGUUUUGGGGAAUUUGGACUGUUACUUUGAAAAAAUUAGAGUGUUUAAAGCAAGCUAACGCUUGAAUACAUUAGCAUGGAAUAAUGAAAUAGGACGUUCGAUCCUAUUUUGUUGGUUUCUAGGAUUGACGUAAUGAUUAAUAGGGAUAGUUGGGGGCAUUAGUAUUCAAUUGUCAGAGGUGAAAUUCUUGGAUUUAUUGAAGACUAACUACUGCGAAAGCAUUUGCCAAGGAUGUUUUCAUUAAUCAAGAACGAAAGUUAGGGGAUCGAAGACGAUCAGAUACCGUCGUAGUCUUAACCAUAAACUAUGCCGACUAGGGAUCGGAUGAUGUUAAUUUUUAAUGACUCAUUCGGCGCCUUAC